UACAGAGGUCCCAAGCGUUGUUCGGAUUCAUUGGGCGUAAAGGGUGCGUAGGCGGUCUGUUGCGUCCGCUGUGAAAACUCGGGGCUUAACCCCGAGCCUGCAGUGGAUACGGGCAGACUAGAGGUAGGUAGGGGAGAAUGGAAUUCCCGGUGUAGCGGUGAAAUACGCAGAUAUCGGGAGGAACACCGGUGGCGAAGGCGGUUCUCUGGGCCUUACCUGACGCUGAGGAGCGAAAGCGUGGGGAGCGAACAGG
rnacentral:rRNA from 1 species